AUCCCCUGGGACAAAACAGAACUUUCAUAACUGGCUGUAGAGUUAUUGUUUUUGCCUUUUGGAAGCUUCCACCUUGUGACGGGAAGAGCACUGUCAGCCCAACACAGAAACUCUGCCGCCUGGAGUCACGUGGAUCCAGAUGCGAAGGGACUCCAACGUCAUGCUAAGGAGUUUGGGUAGCCAUCCUGUGACCCUGGAAGAAACCAGCCCAAGGAAGGUGCUAACCUACAGAAGAAGGACAUGGCCAGGGUAAUCACAUAGACCCGGAGUUGAAGCCCUGACUGCACCACACCCGAAGCCUCCCCACCUUUCAACCUCUCGGUGAUGGUGAA
rnacentral:lncRNA from 1 species